GGAAAACAAACACUGUGAUAUUAAAGAAUUUAAAUGAUAAUUUCUUAAAAAAGAGUGGGUGCCUAAUAAAAACCAGGCCAGGUCUAAUAAUUAGUACACCCAAUAAUAAUCCUAGACUGAAAGUCAUGGCUUCAAGUUCAACAAAAACCCUUUUCCAAGAGAAAUGGGAAUGAAAAAAAUCCUAUUUUGAAUGCUAGUAGAACAUAAUCUCAAAGGUAGUUGCAAAUUAUGUACAAGAACUAGGAUCCACCACCAUAAGACAUGCUUGAGGUGCCAUUAAUUAGUACCGAUUCUUGCAUAUUGGUACUUUUUCCAGCCCUUUCCAUCUUACUAGGUGGACAAUGGAAUCUUUUGGAAAGAGGUUUCGGUUGACGCGUUUUUGUAUCCCAUCCUCUCACACAAAUAAAACCUCUCCAGAAAUUUUCUUGAAUGUCUCUUAUUGAUCUAGUUCCUCUAAAGAUUGAUGAUGGUGAUGUCCCAAUAUAUACAGUCCUCCUCUUUAGUUGCCAUAUUAAACUCCUAGGCACAAUAAUCGGACUGUAACUGGAUUCAUGGUCAGCAAAUACCUCAUUAACUUGAAAGUACGUGCCAUUAAGUGGAAAUCUUCCUCUCAUUGCCGUUCUGCAAGGUAUCAAAAUUGUUCCUCGAACUAUAUUAGCUCUGUCUUCUAGAAUACUUUGACAAGAAAAGCAUGUUUGAUCAUUACAAAGUUCUGGUCCUUGAGAAUUGCAUCUUUUCUUAGGUGGUUCACAGGAAUCUGGAGUUUCACCUGCUGUCCAUAUAGCAAGAAGGUAAGGCAACGAAUCAUCACAUUCUCGUUUCUCUAGCCCUCUCAGAAGUUCAUGAUUAUCGGGAAUUUCAUAGACUUGAUGUUCUGUCCGCAAGCGGCUAGUCUGCUUCAAUUUGCGAAUUGGAAUUGAAUCAACAGUCACAGAUACAGGAACUAAAGCUCUUGAUGAACUACCAGUUUGGAAAUUGGGCCCAUACUUGUCCAUAAAGUAGUGUAAAUUCUCCUUGAAAGUCUCGUUGUUGAGUUGGAUAGUAGGGAUUUCUUCUUCAUCAUCAAUAAUAUCUUCACUUACAAUAUCUUCAAUUUGCUGCUCAUGCAGUGGUGAUUUAGGCUCUUCUAUGAUUGGUUCACAAUUUUGGGUUCUUACCCCAGAUUCCAAUGUUUUGUUAGACUCUAAAAGUGACACUGAUAUUGGAUUGACAACCACACUGUUUCCAACCAAAUUAGAGCUUCCAAGAGGUACUUUAGGAACCAUAUAUCUCUCUUCAACUUUCUUUGAAGGGCCUGGCAGGGAAAGAUUUGCACUGCAUUUAAAUUCUUAGAUUUAGAUUUUGUUCAAAACAAUACACUUUAUGUAGAUACAACUUAAGAGGUUUACACAUCGUUGAUGUAGCCCACAGAAAAAAGUCUAGGAUGGAUGUCAAAGUAUGAUGACAGGAGAGACUUGAUUAUACCAACAAAUGUUUAUUAUUUUAUCUCCGAGUUCAUUAAAACCUGCAACAUCAUUUGUCAUUUCUAGAUAUCCAAGAUUUGCUCUACCAAAUAAGCAUAUCAACUUCUUAAUUUGAUAUGCAUUUAUCAGCAGUCUGAAACCAAGAAAUUGAAAAGCAAAGCGGGUACAAACCUUGCAAUCGCACUAGCAAGAUGUCUGCACUCUGCUCUCAUUGGACAUGCAUUGCAAUUUGGUUUAUUCUUUGUGCAAAAAACCUGAAUGAAUGUUGAAGCAUGUUGCAUAAUAAUUCUUUUCCAAAAUGAUCAAACUAAAAUAAAAUUGCAGCAAAUAUUGAAGUAAAAGUCAAACUUUUGUAUAUACCUUUCCAAAUGUAAUCAGCUGGUAAUGUAAUUCAUACAGUGUUCGUUGAUCAAGUUUGCAGAGUCUUGGCCAGAGGUAUUUUUGAAUUGACUCAAGUACUGGGUACCUAAAGAGAAUGUGAUUAGCAUUUUUUAUCAGUUGAAAUAUAUAGGGCCAAGGUUGGGAAAUGAAUACUUACAGUUCUAGGAGGUGCAAUUGAAGUGACUCUGGCAGCGGUUGAAGAGGGACCCAUCCCAAUCGAACUGCUAUCCGUCCAACAUUCGUGUCAACCGGGAAAGCAAGAUGAUGAAGUGUUAAGAGCCGCACACACUCCACACUUUUCAACCCCAAUCCCCUUAUACUUAGCAGAUAAUCCUUUGCUUUAUCAGGGGGGACAUCUCUUAACCAUUCCAGAUCAAUGCUUCCAUGUUCUCUGACCAGUCGAUUCAGAAAUUCCUUGAUUCGUUCUGCUAGCAUGUUGUUCAUCCCUCUUUCUUUAAUAUUAGCAGAAAUCUUAUUGACAUUAGCACAUCUCAUUGCUUCAUAGUCCAGGGAGUCCAUUGUAUUUUGGCUUCUUUCUUUUCUUCUACCAUUUGCCAAGACUUGCUUCCUCAAACUAUCCCAGUCAAUAGCGUCCUUUUUCUUGCCCCCAGCUUUUGCUUUUCUUGCAUUUAAGUUUUCUAUAUUAGUAAAAUUUACUUGUUCCUUCAAAUUUGACUUAGCCAAUUCAUUUUCUGAAUGUGUGUGCUUAUCCACCAAAGCAAUUCUCUCUUGAACGCCAAAAACUUUUUCUUUUAGAUUGGGAAUGUUUGAGAUGUGCUGCUCAUAACUGCACUGCCCAUUAACCUGUGCAUCCGCAAGAUUUGCAGUUUCGGCCAUUGAUUUUCUUUCCAAUUGGAAGGUCUUUUCUAUCUUAUGUGGUUGGAAGCCAUGGUAAGGUUUAGGACUGAUUUGUUCAUGCAUCAUUUGCUUGCUUAGGAAAGAAUGUGGGUCCACCAUUUGAGUCUCUUGAUAGCUUGAUGACCCAUAUUGUUGUGC
rnacentral:misc_RNA from 1 species